GCACACAUUAAUUUCAUUUCUAAAUAUUUGUACCAGUCUUGUUUUUCAUAUUUUCGUCUAAACGGAGGAAAAUGAAUAAAAUAAAUUUGACGACGUUUUUAAUUUUGGGGGUGGUAUCGCUAUCUGUUGCUUCGUUGGAGAGGGAAACCUUCAAAAAAGACGAGGAGGACUCUCAACUUCUUCUUCUUCAGGGUGGAGGUAUGACGGGUAGUGAAGAUUUCAUUACCGGAUAUGACCAAGACCUCGUUCUACGCAGGGAAAAGCGUGCACCGCGUAAUCGGGGAACCAGUGGCGGAAUACUUGGGGACGGAGGGAGCGUGGGAAUAGAGGUUACGGUGUUUCCAGCUUAGGACGGGGACGAGGAUAUCGUGGGUGAAAUUUAGUAAUAUUAUAUUUACAAAUAAAAUCACCUAAGAUUAAGACAAUUUACCCAUUACUUUUGAAACUUUGCUAGGCUAGGUAAUUUGACGACAAAAUUGUUUUUUAUAAAUUUUAAUAGAUUUGUAAAAAUACGAAUUAUAAAAUUUGUUUGUUUAAUCAUAUACAUGAAUACAAAAACUUAUGGUUUAUGUAUAUGUAUAUGUACAUCAAUAAAUAUGUGAAAACCAUUGUA